UCUUGUGCUGUGCGGUGCUGUGUGUGUGUGUGUGUGCUUCAACGGAAUGCCCGUGCAGGCAACGCAUCACAGAGAAAAGGACGCAGGCAGACCACCAAACGAGCAAGCAGAGCGACAAGCAGACAGAGGCGGUGCUUCCGUUGUGUCGCUCGUAGGCAGAAGCUGCACCCACACGACUUUCCCUCCCCCCGUCCCUACCCUUCUUGGUAGUGAGAAGUAUCACCAGCACCGCCGCUACGACGAAAACCCCUCGCUCUCCCUCCCCAUCUACACAACCAGCUCAUGCUGCAUUACAUUCAGUUACUUGGCUCUGACACGCCGAACGGGUACGGUGGAUGCUGCUACUACGGCCCGCUUGAUCAUCCUGCUCUGCAUGCGUCUACCCUUUCCUCUGCAACGGGGUCGGGCCCCCCUACAGGGGGGGUGCCGCCAGCCUCAAGGCACAGCUAUGUUGUUGAUGCCGAAGCGACCGUUCCCGCUCCUACGCUUGUGCCAUCGGUGAAUGCAAGUGCUCACGAAACACUUCACCAGUUCUCCCCGACUGGUGAGGUAGCCGAGCCUGCAGUGCCCUCGUCGUGGAACUGGUCCUCGUACCUCACGGCGAAGCGACCAACGUGGCCGCGAGCUGGUCCAUUCCACACGGCCAAACUCCUACACCCACAGCCACCUUCACCAUCCGUGUCACCAUCAGCGGUAGCAACGGCGUCAACGCCGCACGUGACGGCAGACACCGGCUUCAGUGGCAGCGAGGGCUACAUUUUCUUCAACUGUCCAGAGGGUACACAACGGUUUAGCUCGGAGGCGAACAUCAAGCUCAAGAAGGUGCGAGGCUUCUUCUUCACGCGGUGGAGCAGCUCGAAGACUGCCGUGUAUCCGCUUCCGUCGGGCAAUGUCGCCAGCUCCGUCGAAGAUGAGCAGCACGGCAGCGCAUCAGCAGACGCCGUCGACGCUCCCGCAGACACGACGGCGUUAGAGAUGCCUGUCGGCGCGGCGUCAGCUGUGAUGGGGUUGCCUGGCAUGCUCUUCACCAUCAACGAUGCCGGUGCACGACAUGCCACAUUCUUCGGCCCAAGUGCGGCUCUGGACGAUCCACCGCAGCCCGCUCAUAUGGAGGGCGUCGCGCGGGCUGGCACGCGCAACGGCGAUGGUGGUAGCGAGCCCCACAACUCCAACAGUGAGCAGGCUUAUGCGCACGCUUGCGGAUCUCCGUGUGCUGGCGACUCAGCGGCGACUUCAUCAACGGGAGGUUCAGCGGUUGCUGCGCCAGGAGCACAGCUGCCGUCGCCACUGUCGUCGGCUGGUCUGCGCGGCUUCCUGACGGCUCUACGCUUCCACUACUUCCAGUACCGACCCAUGGUCUUCCGGCAGCUCCACGGAUUGGUACGACAUGCGAUGGAUCAAGCUGCCGUCAGCGGCCACAGUGUCGACGCCACGAGCGCGGCUGCAAUCGCAGGGAACAACCAGCUGCACUUUGUGGAAACGGUGGGGGAGCCGACAGCAUCACGUGGCGCGCAACCGGGCAGGCCGCUGACGGGGCUGUCGCCUUUCAUUCAUGCAACACUGCCGCUCAGCCCGCAGAGUCUGCUUGUGACGUUUCGCGUAUCGGGUGGCCGCAGAGGUGGCGAGAGCGAGAGCGCCGCCACAGCUGCAGCCGCUGCGGGCGAUGCGAGGAUGAGCCUUUUACAGCCGACGUCUCCGUCCGCCAUGCCGGAAGACGAGCAGCAGCGUCAUCAGCUGCGUCACGCGUACUUUGCAGGGCAUAUCGAGAGAGCGGACCAAAGGGCAGACACAGAUACGGCAGGGUCGACGAUGUCCUUCACGGCCCCAACGAGCCAUGAUGUCGUCUUCGGCUACGCGAUCAUUGUGGCGCCAGGGCCGAGCUUCGACGCCGCCAAGGCGCGCGCGCUAGGUGUCCGCUCGGGCCCCAAGUACGGCCAGCUCAAGCUGGGGAUGUCUGUGCAGGCAGACACGGAUGCGGGGGUGGCGGACACGUCCGCCGCAUCCAUGCCGCCCUCGCAGAAUGCCACCGUUGCCUUUGGGCACACCAACGACCAAUUACCCACCCCAACGCAACGCUGGGUGCACCCUCAUCAGGUGAUGCGGCCCACCGCGGCAACGAGGCACGCAUACAUCUCGCUUGUGCUGGACGGUGAUCGACCUGAGGAUGUACGAGAGGCAGUCGCACGGCUCUUAGGCAGCUCCGUCGGUGGCGAUGGGGAAUCCCCUUCGAGGAGCUCUGCUGCCGCGUGCAGGGAAGCUGAGGAGGACGACAAUACCUGCUGCAACGCUGCGGUAGGGGAGCAUAGCGAUGGGGUGCUGCAGCGGCUGCUGCGCGAGUACUUUCCUCACCUCGCGUACUACUACGAAGAGGACGAUAAGGUGGGCGAGGGGACGGCGGCAGCUCCACCUCAUUCGCAGGAGCCACGUCUGAGGCGACGACCGCGUCAGCUCGCUGUGCGACACGUCGUGCACGUGCAGCCCACGUCGUACUUUGCUCAAUUUGAGCGUCGCUGCCGCCACAACGCGCUGCUCCAUUCGCCAUUCGUGCGUGAGGACAGGGCUCAGGCGCGGCCGAAGACACUGCCGCCGUCGUUACACCGCGAAGCUGGCGCACCCGGCGUCUACGCCGCCUACAACGCGUACAUAUUCGCGGAUGUAGCUGGCCAGCACGAUCCGCUUCAUCAUCAGCGCGUCUGCGCCGCAGCGGAUCACGGCGAAGAAGAGGCGGUGGCGGCGAGGGUCGAGGCGGGUGGUGACGCGGUCGUGGUUAAGAACGUAUCUUCGCCGCCGCGACAGGACUCUUCUAAAUCUCUUUCAGCGGUGCAGCUAUCGCUGGCCCCGUCGCUCUCUUUCACUCUUGACGACAUGGCCGACACUGCUGAUGGUGACGCGGAGAUGGGCGAGAGGGGGGAGUGCGAGAGCGACUCUGCGUGGAUCGGGGAGGCGCACAGGUGCCGCCCGCCGCCGCCGCUGCCGCACGGGACCCCUCCGGAGGCAGAACUGCCACGGUACAAGACAUGGCAGCUGUUCACCAGCUAUGUGCAGCGGCACUUCACAGCCUUCCCGACGGCGCUCGUUCAUCGCUAUCAUCUACACCACCUCGCGCCUUCCCUCUUUCCUAUUGUGGGGGCGACAGCGCUGACGCAAAGAGCUGGUGGUGCUGGUAACGCCACUGAGGAUCGCGCAGCUCGUAGCGGCACAGCAGCAGGGGCUGCUAUCUCCACGGAGGCUUCCAGCAGCGGUAGUGCGGUGCGCGCGCAGCGCGCAAAGCCAAGCGUGUCGAACUCGAGUAGUUCCUCGGCAGAGGACGUUGUGGAGUACUGGCCCUACUCGUUGAAGCUGCGGUGCAUUCCUGAGGCGACGCUGCAGCUGCCUUACAAACAGCACGCCACAGCGAAGAAGGCUACCCAAGCACAGCAGGGGGCAGAGAUGGCAGGGCCGGUGCGGCAGGCACCAUCAACCGUCAAUGCUUCUUUGGGCCACGAUGCUGCUACUGCUGCUGCAGUGCCUUCCCCUCACUUGCCGGCUCCCCGCAAGCGUGAGCGGCAGGUGAGUUCGAGCCGUGAUUCUGCGUCAGCACCGGCUUGCACCGUGCAUGCUAGUGCUUCCUCUUCGACAGCAAAUGCAGCAACUCCAAGAGUGCUACCACCAGCAGCAGCAGCUCGCACUCGGCCUCCUUCAGCACCACCGCGCCGAGCUGCUGUCGUGGAUGGAGUCGCAUCGUUGCUUCCAUACCCUACGCCAGCCUCUGCGCUAGCCCUUCUCUCCACCGCGUUUCUGCGCUCGCUCAGGACAAGUUCCGUCGUUGCCGCCGCCGCCGCCGUAGCAGCGGCUGGAGAAGUACCUGCGACGCCCUCGACGCCGACGGAGAGUCGUGUGGACAGACACGGCGGCUUCGCAGCUUCGCAACAGCGCGUGGACGUGCCCAGCACUGGUAUGGGCUGCAUGGGCGGUGGCGCACUGGGCUUUCUCGGCACCGGCUCCGCUGUUCCCAGCAAGUACCGAAACGUGAGUGGCACCUUCCUCGAGUUACACCUUCCCGCUUACUGCUUUCCAGGAGGGGACUGCCCUGUCAAGCCUCUUCUUCACGAUGAUGAUAGCGCUCAUGCCUCGGGAGCUGCAGCGGUAGUGGCAGAGGAUACACCGUCGGCGACAUUUGCCAGACCCCCCGCGGGCGAGGCCACAUGCGCGCGACGUGAGGGUGAUGCCGUGCUUGGUUUUGGCUCGUCCGACUCCUCCACUUGUUCUCGCGGCCCCGCCACAGCUAGCAUCGAUGGCUCACAGAAGAUUGUGCCACGACGCUGUUCGUCAGCACCGCUGACGAUGGGUUCGCAGCAACUUCGACGUGGGGUGGUUAUCCUGGACUUUGGCGAGGGCAGUGCCGGGCAACUCGCCUCCCUUUGCGGGCGAGUCCGUGGCGGUAGCGCAUGUAGUCAGCGUCCGCCUAGCUGCUCGUUGACUGCGUCACCGAUGCACGCCACACUUGACGGCCAUCGAGUGAACGGCAGGGACCGGCGCGAGGGUGCCGGCGACCACGCGGAGGACGCAGAGACUUACACGUCCUCUCCCCACGCAGCCUCCGCGGAGGAUGCCACGGAGUUCGAGGAUGAUGCGGACGUACGUCUUCGACAGUUUGUGCUGGACAUUGUACUCGUCUUCAUAUCACACGCGCACGCCGACCACCACCUCGGCCUCAUGUCCCUCCUCACGCUGCGCCAUGAAUACCUUCAACGCGGCCCAUCCGCGCUGCCGCCGGCGCCAAAACUACUUAUCGUGUGCCCGACAGAGGUCUACGCGUUCAUGAUGGACGCCUGGGGCAGCACGCCACCCUACACGACAUGGCUUCAUGAAGAGUGCGUCUUUGAUCUGAUGCCGCCAUCCUUCAGUGGCCUUCGCAGGGAGGGCCGGUGGCCCGACGCGCUGGCGGCCGAAGAGGGCGAUGCUGCGCCGCACGGGCGCCAGGAAAAGCUCCAAGCGGCCACCGCCGUCGCGGACAACAACGUUCCAGACAGUGCGGAUGGCACGGAGCGCGACCAAGACGCUGUCGGUGAUGGCGGUGUAGACUCACGUCGUGCUGCAUCGUUCACGCAUCGAUUCCGUCAUGACCGUCACGCUCUUCACGCUUCCAACAACCAGCCAGAGCAACAGCAUGUUGUACCGAUGCCGCUGCUGCAAGCGCACCUCACUAUGUGGAACCAGGCCAUCGCAGUCGGCAUCCGGCACCACCAGCGGCAGCCCCCCUCCGACUCGCCCCUGCCAUCUUCCUCUGAACCGCUGGCAGGCACCUCGAUGAAGGCAGCGGCAGCAUCGGUGAAGGGCAACAUCUGGUGGGACGCGGAGGUGAUCACCGUGGAUCACCCCGCCAACGCCCACGCGCUUCUCUUGCGUUUUCCCUUCUGCUCAUUGAUGAAGGAGCAGGGCAUGCACGGCGUGUGUGGCGAGGCGGCGGAGGACGGCGGACCCCGCACGGCCAACCCAGACGCGGCUGAGGCUGCGACUGGACGACAGCGCAGCCAAGAGCCGCUCUCGCGUGUCCCUGACAGCUCUCGUGUGCUGCUCUUCUCAGGUGACACACGCCCGUCGUCCUUUUUGGUAGAACGCAGUUGGGCCUUUGCCACGUCGGCGCCGAGUCGGCUGCCAAGAUGCGCUGACUACACCGAACUCACCAUCCAGGAUGGGGUCGUGCCUGACGAAGCCGACUCAGGCAGCGCUCUCGAGGGGGGGAGGGCGGCCCUCGUGGCGAAGGCGAACGCAAGCGGCAGCAUGGAUAGGAUUCGAGAAGCAGCGCUACCGCGACUGCCUACUUCGACGUCGCCGUCGUCGCUUUCUUCGCCAGUCUUCAUUCUCUUGCACGAAGCGACGUUCGGGCCCGGGUUCGAAGGCGAGGCGGUUCGCAAGAAGCACUCGACGCUUCCCGAGGCACUCCGCAUCGGCGUUGCGGUGCGGGCGGAGUUCAUCGUCUUGAAUCACUUCUCGCAGCGCUACCCAAAACUGCCAGGCUUGUCAGAGGAGCAGCUGGGGGGACGGUCGGCGGACCUCGUCUGCCAACGCCGCACGCGAGCCUCCGCCGCGGUGGCCGCGACGUCGGCGGUGACUGCUGCGGAGACACAGAACCCUGCCGACCAUGUCAGCGGCGGCCUAGCGAGCGCAAGUGCGCCAAGGUCAAGCAGCCCUGGCGAGCAGCAGGGGCUGGCAGGAAAAGCUUUAUCAAAGGCUUUGAGGCAGGAGAGCGGCCGCAGCAAAUGGGAGCGGGAUGCUGAGCAGACAGCGGACGCAAGCCGGCCACUGCCGCCGCCACACAUCGCUACGGACGACGCGGCCGCAUCGCCUUACGCGAACAUGUCCUUCGCCUUCGAUCUUAUGUUUGUGUCGUUUAGCGAUAUGCAGCGCGGGCUCGUGCCGCGACUCACGCCGACACUCGUGCGGCUGCUGGAGGAGUACGACUCGUGGGGAAGCGGCACAACGCAGCGGAUGCGCAGCGGCGGAGGCGGCGGUGAUGGUAGUGGUGGUCGUCCGCAGAAGCAGCAGCAGCAGCAGCGGAAGUCGCCCGCUACUCCAUCAACGACGGCUUCGAGUGCGCCAGCCGGUAUCGACAGCAACACGAGCGGUGCAGCAGCGCAGAGGGCGGCUUACGACGAGUCGGCGUAAAAGAAGAUAUCGAGCAACAGCGGAGAGGGCGAGUGCGCGACGCGCCAGGUAUGCCUUCUAAUAAUGCGACUAAGGCAUGCCGCGAGCUCGCCCUCCCCUCCCCUCCCCUCCCCCUUCGGUAUGCAGGAAGGAAUGCACGCAUGCCGAAGGGGGAGGGGAGGGGAGGGCGAGCUCUCGGCAUGCCGUUCGUUCCCCUACCAUGCAACGG
rnacentral:misc_RNA from 1 species